rnacentral:SRP_RNA from 2 species
AGGACAGAAAGGAAGCAAAGAUGAGCUGUAGAUAUGUGUG